GUGCUCACUUGGGCAGCACAUAUACUAAUAUUAGAGCAAUGCAGAGAAGAUUAACGUGGCCCCUGCCCAAGGAUGACAUACAAAUUCAUUAAGUGUUUUACAUUUUG
ensembl:snRNA U6 U6 spliceosomal RNA